GACGAACGCUGGCGGCGUGCUUAACACAUGCAAGUCGAACGGAAAGGCCCUGCUUUUGUGGGGUGCUCGAGCGGCGAACGGGUGAGUAACACGUGAGUAACCUGCCCUUGACUUUGGGAUAACUUCAGGAAACUGGGGCUAAUACCGGAUAGGAGCUCCUGCUGCAUGGUGGGGGUUGGAAAGUUUCGGCGGUUGGGGAUGGACUCGCGGCUUAUCAGCUUGUUGGUGGGUAGUGGCUUACCAAGGCUUUGACGGGUAGCCGGCCUGAGAGGGUGACCGGCCACAUUGGGACUGAGAUACGGCCCAGACUCCUACGGGAGGCAGCAGUGGGGAAUAUUGCACAAUGGGCGGAAGCCUGAUGCAGCAACGCCGCGUGCGGGAUGACGGCCUUCGGGUUGUAAACCGCUUUCGCCUGUGACGAAGCGUGAGUGACGGUAAUGGGUAAAGAAGCACCGGCUAACUACGUG
rnacentral:rRNA from 1 species